ensembl:lncRNA
GCAUGUCUGGAGACUAUGUCUAACCAAGGAUUUUCUUAGUGAAGUAGUAAAACUGAACUCUGUGGAAUUUUGAGAAAUAAUUCGCUCAGCGGCCAGCCACUGACACGUAUAGAGGAGCUUUGUGCAAGCACCAAUUAUCAAAAGGCUGUGCUUUCAUCCACACCAUUAAUUUCUGAAGGCAGAAGAGAGCAUGAUGAUGAAAGUGUCUUACAAGAUUAACAUCUCCAGUAUCACAGCUUUAAAGAAGUAGGACUGGAAUCUGAAACCAUAACUGCCUGAUCCAAAACUUGCUUUUGUGACUGGAUCAAGAGAAUAUGGAGCAGUGACAAUACGUGACUUCCAAGGAAAAGUAAUCAAAAGGAAAAGCACUUAUUCUCCCCUGUUCCCUGGAAUAUGUCUGCUGGAAGCUUCCAAAUAAAUAUUCAUAUAGAGCUGACUACUGGUGAGGCUAAAGCAUCUGAGGAGACAAAGGGAGAGCCCAGAGCCCCUGUGUUUGGAGUUGGCUGGACUGUGGAGACUUUGGAAAGGUCCUGCUGCCGGGAGUUAAGCAUGAAAUCUUGGAACUGAAUUUUACAGAAUUACUUCUGAACCAGUAUGGAACAUUUUAUGAACCUACACAAAGGUGAGCACUGAACAACAUACUAUCAAU